rnacentral:lncRNA from 1 species
GAUCGUGCCACUGCACUCCAGUGGGAGACACACUGAAACUAAAAAACUAAAAAAACAAACCAACAAAUUCUGUAUACUUUCUGGCCAAACCAGUUUGCUCAUAAGUCAUUAAUCAAUUCCAUUGUUUACAGUUUUUAUGGAGAAAAUAAGCAACACACACAUUUUAAUAGUGUUCAUUUAUUUUUGCAUGAGUUCUUAAAAUACAUAUCUCUUCCUUUCCUUUUUUUUUUUUUUUUUUUUUUUUUUUUUUUUUUUUGGAGACAGUCUCAUUCUGUCACCCAGGGUAGAGUGCAGUGGCACAGUCUCGGCUCACCGCAACCUCCAAUUUUCGGGCUCAAGCGAUUUUCAUGCCUCAGCCUCCUGAGUAGCUGGGACUGCAGGUGCCUGCCACUAUGCCUCCUGACUAAUUUUUUGUAUUUUUGGUAGAGACAGGGUUUCACCAUGUUGCCCAGGGCAGUCUCAAACUCCUGAGCUCAGGUAAUCCGCCUGCCUUGGCCUCCCAAAGUGCUAGGAUUUCAGGUGUGAGCCACAGUGCCCAACCAAAAUACAUAUUUCUAUUUCAAGAUAACAUUUAAAAAUUAUUCUAACAGCAGCAAAAAUAUAAUUCUGCAAUUACAAAAGAACUAAACUAGAAUCCAUCAGUUAUUCUCGUGUUUACAAUUGUGAUUCUUUAAUACUACUACUAUACAGCUCUAUUGUAAGCUUUCGAGGUUGGGUUUAAACACACACACAUAGAUACUGUCAGUUGUAGGAGGCUUUACAAGUUAUAUUCCAUGCACUUUUUGGACAGAGUUCUGAAAGAGCCAGCCAGUCCACAAGACAGGCAGAAAAAAGUUAAACUAACUGGGCAAAUAGGACUCAUAUAACAUUCAAAAUGUGAGAUUCUGCAGCAAACUGGGAGUACUUCACGGUUGGCCUACUAUCUUCUUUAGAACUAAUUUCAUCUUAACAGUUUAAGAAGGUGGACAUUUCAACACUAUGAAGUAUAUUUAGGUGACAUGUAUCUUUUAUGUUAACUCUACUUCCUUUAAUGACCUAGUUAGUAAACUAUUCACUAGUAAUUCAAUCACCAGGCAAAUCAAGCCUGCAAGAAAGGAAGCCAAUAUUCAAAAUGCCGUGUUACCAUCUUAACCCACUCAAAUAGUUAAUUUUCAGCAUUAAUAUGUAACUUCAAUAAUGAGAUGUCUAACUAAAGCAAGCUCCUCCAACAAGAUCAAAACAACAUCUCUUCUUCUAAGGCUCAGGUUUUGCUUAGAAUUCCCGAUACAUGGAAUAGUCCAUACCAACAACAGCCAUUGCUCCUACAACAAAGCCUAGGGCUUCCACACGCAUGUGGAUCAGAUGAUGGAAUAUUUUAGUAUUUCCCCUGCUCUUCAAUUUGUGUAGUCCAUAUGCAACAAUUGCUACAAAACCUGCCAUUCCAAUGGGGGUGAAUGGUGCCUCUUUAGCCUGAUCUUCAUUGUAUGAAGAAAAGGAAACAUCUGUGUCUGUCGACAUAGUGAUUGCUUGAAGAAUCUCCCUAGAGCGAGAAAACCUGUUACAUGCCAACCGGCUUCUCUCUCCUAUUUAUUUAUCUAUCUGUGAAAUAAGAACCUCCAGCUAGACUCCAAACCCAGUGGUACACAGGAGAGAAAACAGUCAUCACUGGAGAAAGCGACAGGGCAAUCAGUGUCCUCAGGGAAGAGCCAGGUUUCAGUCAAAGCAAGAAGGCCAAGGGAACGCUUAGAGAAAAGCUAUUCCUUAGAGAAAAGUGUAUUCCUUAACACACUUAGUAUGGUAAUCUAAGGUCAAAAUUAUUAUUAUUGUUGCUAGAGACAGAGUCUCACUCAGGCUGGAGUGCAGUGGCACCAUUUCAGCUCACUGCAGCCUCCAUCUCUCAGGUUCAAGCGAUUCUCCUGCCUCAGCCUCCCGAGUAGCUGGGAUUACAGGUGCCCACACCACGCCUGGCUAAUUUUUGUAUUUUUAGUGGAGACGGGGUUUCAUCAUGUUGGCCAGGCUGGACUUGAACUCCUGACCUCAAGUGAUCCAUCCACCUCAGCCUCCCAAAGUGCUGGGAUUACAGGUGUGAGCCACUGUACCCAGCCAAAAUUAUUUUCUCUUAGACAUUGCAGAAUCUUUUUUGCAUGCAAUGUUAAUUGGUGAGGAGGUGGAUGCCAGUCUGAUUCUUUCUUUUGUAGACAAUCUUGUUUUGUUAUUUUCUCAAUAUAAAUACAUCUAAAGUUCCAAUAAAAUCUAAAAUUCUGAAAUUUUACUUUGAUGUAUUCCAAGUUUGAAACCUUUGUCAUGUAUCUUGCUUGGUAUUCUAUAGGCCUCUUAAAUUAGAAGACUCAUGUCUCCUUUAACUCUGGGAAUUUUUCUUCUAGUAUUUCUUUAUUUCCUCCUCCAAAUUCUCUGUGUUUUCUUCUUUUGGAACCCCUGUAGGAUGGAUAAUGGGAUAUCUAGAUCUAUUC